rnacentral:rRNA from 1 species
GACGAACCGUGCGAACGUUAUUCGGAAUCACUGGGCUUAAAGCGCGUGUAGGCGGCCCGGCGCGUCUUUCGCUGAAAUCCCCCGGCUUAACCGGGGAACUGGCGGAGAUACGACCGUCCUGGAGGGGCGUAGGGGGACCUGGAACUUCCGGUGGAGCGGUGAAAUGCGUUGAGAUCGGAAGGAACGCCCGUGGCGAAAGCGAGGUCCUGGACGCCUACUGACGCUGAGACGCGAAAGCCAGGGGAGCGAACGGG